rnacentral:rRNA from 1 species
UCGCACCUACCGAUGUACGCUCCAAUGAAAUUUCGGGAUCUGACGCUUUCAUGGGUUAAACCUGAUUCGUCGGAAAACUUGCUUAAAUUGGAUUGUGUAGAGGAAGGUG